UACGUAGGGAGCAAGCGUUGUCCGGAAUCAUUGGGCGUAAAGCGCGCGUAGGUGGCCUCGUAAGUCCGCUGUGAAAGUCAAAGGCUCAACCUUUGAAAGCCGGUGGAUACUGUGAGGCUAUAGUACGGAAGAGGCGAGUGGAAUUCCUGGUGUAGCGGUGGAAUGCGCAGAUAUCAGGAGGAACACCAAUAGCGAAGGCAGCUCGCUGGGACGUUACUGACGCUGAGACGCGAAAGCGUGGGGAGCAAACAGG
rnacentral:rRNA from 1 species